AGCGAACGCUGGCGGCGUGCUUAACACAUGCAAGUCGAACGUGAAAGUAGCAAUAUGAGUAAAGUGGCGUACGGGUGAGUAACACGUGGGUAAUCUACCAAAGAGUCUGGAAUAACCGGCCGAAAGGCUGGCUAAUACUGGAUAGAUCAAGCGCAUUAUAAAGGUGCGAUUGGGAAAGGGAGCUCGUAAGAGCCUUCGCUUUUUGAUGAGCCCGCGUCUGAUAGCUAGUUGGUGAGGUAAUGGCUCACCAAGGCGACGAUCAGUAGCUGGUCUGAGAGGAUGAUCAGCCACACUGGAACUGAAACACGGUCCAGACUCCUACGGGAGGCAGCAGUGGGGAAUCUUGCGCAAUGGACGAAAGUCUGACGCAGCCACGCCGCGUGAGUGAAGAA
rnacentral:rRNA from 1 species